rnacentral:rRNA from 1 species
CCUACGGGAGGCAGCAGUGGGGAAUAUUGGACAAUGGGCGCAAGCCUGAUCCAGCAAUGCCGCGUGAGUGAUGAAGGCCUUAGGGUCGUAAAGCUCUUUUACCAGGGAUGAUAAUGACAGUACCUGGAGAAUAAGCUCCGGCUAACUCCGUGCCAGCAGCCGCGGUAAUACGGAGGGAGCUAGCGUUGUUCGGAAUUACUGGGCGUAAAGCGUACGUAGGCGGUUAUUCAAGUCAGAGGUGAAAGCCCGGGGCUCAACCCCGGAACGGCCUUUGAAACUAGGUAGCUAGAAUCUUGGAGAGGUCAGUGGAAUUCCGAGUGUAGAGGUGAAAUUCGUAGAUAUUCGGAAGAACACCAGUGGCGAAGGCGACUGACUGGACAAGUAUUGACGCUGAGGUACGAAAGCGUGGGGAGCAAACAGGAUUAGAUACCCUGGUAGUCCACGCCGUAAACGAUGAUAACUAGCUGUUCGGGCACUUGGUGCUUGAGUGGCGCAGCUAACGCAUUAAGUUAUCCGCCUGGGGAGUACGGUCGCAAGAUUAAAACUCAAAGGAAUUGAACGGCUGGAGAGUGCGAGACGACGACGAGGAGAGG